ACGGGUUAAAAGUCGCUAAGCAACUAGAAACGAUUCUUAUAAAUCAGAUUGUCAUAAAUUUUAAUUUAUUGUCACAAGUACUGGCCUAAAUAAUUAUAAAAAUCAGGCUUCUAUAUUGUCUUGAACAUUAGCUGCUAUCAAGCCAUUUUUAAGUCCGAAAUCAUAUAGAAAUCAGGCAUGAAGUAGGCUUUAGAUAUACAUUGCUACCUGUCUAGUAAGUGUCAUCUCUUUGUCUUUACCUGUCUAGUGUCAUAUCUUGCUCACUUUUGAUUUACACUUCAUGAGGACAAGUUAGUAUUGUCCUAUGAAACUCCUUGAGGAUAUUUAAUCAGAAGUAAUCCAGAUAACUAAUUAAGAAAUAUUCAAUUUGAUGAAGUUGACGAUUGUCUUGCUCAGCAAGGAUUUAAAAUAUCUGGAUAUUUAGGUCCCCAAGACCUUUCUUUUUGGCCAUACGCUAUCUUUAAGGCCAACAAUUUUUCUUUCUCUCCAAUUCAUUUUGAUGUUGUGAGUUUUUUUGAAACACCCUUGUCCAGGGUCGAUAUUUAUAUAACCUGUAUAUCUGUGAAGUAUCCAAGUAUAUAAAUGCAGUACGACAUCAUCCACGUGUAUAACAUCGACGAAAAAAACAUAAG
rnacentral:lncRNA from 1 species